UACUUACAUUUCACAGUCAGUAAUUGAAGGA
rnacentral:piRNA from 1 species